rnacentral:rRNA from 1 species
CGGCGUGCUUAACACAUGCAAGUCGAACGGUGACGAGGAGCUUGCUCCUCUGAUCAGUGGCGAACGGGUGAGUAACACGUGAGCAACCUGCCCCAGACUCUGGGAUAACAGUUGGAAACAGCUGCUAAUACCGGAUACGAGACGGAGAGGCAUCUCUACCGUCUGGAAAGUUUUUCGGUCUGGGAUGGACUCGCGGCCUAUCAGCUAGUUGGUGAGGUAAUGGCUCACCAAGGCGACGACGGGUAGCCGGCCUGAGAGGGCGACCGGCCACACUGGGACUGAGACACGGCCCAGACUCCUACGGGAGGCAGCAGUGGGGAAUAUUGCACAAUGGGCGAAAGCCUGAUGCAGCGACGCCGCGUGAGGGAUGAAGGCCUUCGGGUUGUAAACCUCUUUCAGCAGGGAAGAAGCGAAAGUGACGGUACCUGCAGAAGAAGCACCGGCUAACUACGUGCCAGCAGCCGCGGUAAUACGUAGGGUGCGAGCGUUGUCCGGAAUUAUUGGGCGUAAAGAGCUUGUAGGCGGUUUGUCGCGUCUGCAGUGAAAAUCCGGGGCUCAACCCCGGACUUGCUGUGGGUACGGGCAGACUAGAGUAUGGUAGGGGAGACCGGAAUUCCUGGUGUAGCGGUGGAAUGCGCAGAUAUCAGGAGGAACACCGAUGGCGAAGGCAGGUCUCUGGGCCAUAACUGACGCUGAGAAGCGAAAGCAUGGGGAGCGAACAGGAUUAGAUACCCUGGUAGUCCAUGCCGUAAACGUUGGGCGCUAGGUGUGGGACUCAUUCCACGAGUUCCGUGCCGCAGCUAACGCAUUAAGCGCCCCGCCUGGGGAGUACGGCCGCAAGGCUAAAACUCAAAGGAAUUGACGGGGGCCCGCACAAGCGGCGGAGCAUGCGGAUUAAUUCGAUGCAACGCGAAGAACCUUACCAAGGCUUGACAUAUACCGGAAACAUCCAGAGAUGGGUGCCCCGCAA